CCUACGGGAGGCAGCAGUGAGGAAUAUUGGUCAAUGGGGGAAACCCUGAUGCAGCGACGCCGCGUGUGGGAAGACGGUCUUCUGGAUUGUAAACCACUGUCCCCAGGGACGAAAAUGACGGUACCUGGGGAGGAAGCUCCGGCUAACUACGUGCCAGCAGCCGCGGUAAUACGUAGGGAGCAAGCGUUGUCCGGAAUUACUGGGUGAAAAGGGAGCGUAGGCGGGGAUGCAAGUUGGGUGUCAAAACUACCGGCUCAACCGAUAGUCGCACUCAAAACUGCAACUCUUGAGUGAAGUAGAGGCAGGCGGAAUUCCUAGUGUAGCGGUGAAAUGCGUAGAUAUUAGGAGGAACACCAGUGGCGAAGGCGGCCUGCUGGGCUUUUACUGACGCUGAGGCUCGAAAGUGUGGGGAGCAAACAGGAUUAGAUACCCCUGUAGUC
rnacentral:rRNA from 1 species